CAACCUCAACUCAUAUGGGACUACCCCCUGAAUUUAAGCAUAUUAAUUAGGGGAGGAAAAGAAACUAACAAGGAUUUUCUUAGUAGCGGCGAGCGAAAAGAAAACAGUUCAGCACUAAGUCACUUUGUCUAUAUGGCAAAUGUGAGAUGCAGUGUAUGGAGCGUCAAUAUUCUAGUAUGAGAAAUUAAUGAUUUAAGUCCUUCUUAAAUGAGGCCAUUUACCCAUAGAGGGUGCCAGGCCCGUAUAACGUUAAUGAUUACUAGAUGAUGUUUCCAAAGAGUCGUGUUGCUUGAUAGUGCAGCACUAAGUGGGUGGUAAACUCCAUCUAAAACUAAAUAUAACCAUGAGACCGAUAGUAAACAAGUACCGUGAGGGAAAGUUGAAAAGAACUCUGAAUAGAGAGUUAAACAGUACGUGAAACUGCUUAGAGGUUAAGCCCGAUGAACCUGAAUAUCCGUUAUGGAAAAUUCAUCAUUAAAAUUGUAAUAUUUAAAUAAUAUUAUUAAGAAUAAUGUGCAUUUUUUCCAUAUAAGGACAUUGUAAUCUAUUAGCAUAUCCCAAAUUUAUCAUAAAAUAUAACUUAUAGUUUAUUCCAAUUAAAUUGCUUGCAUUUUAACACAGAAUAAAUGUUAUUAAUUUGAUAAAGUGCUGAUAGAUUUAUAUUAUUACAGAGCGUUAAUUUUUCGGAAUUAUAUAAUGGCAUAAUUAUCAUUGAUUUUUGUGUUUAUUAUAUGCUCUUGUAUGAUUAACAAUGCGAAAGAUUCAGGAUACCUUCGGGACCCGUCUUGAAACACGGACCAAGGAGUCUAACAUAUGUGCAAGUUAUUGGGAUGUAAACCUAAUAGCGUAAUUAACUUGACUAAUAAUGGGAUUAGUUUUUUAGCUAUUUAUAGCUAAUUAACACAAUCCCGGGGCGUUCUAUAUAGUUAUGUAUAAUGUAUAUUUAUAUUAUUUAUGCCUCUAACUGGAACGUACCUUGAGCAUAUAUGCUGUGACCCGAAAGAUGGUGAACUAUACUUGAUCAGGUUGAAGUCAGGGAAACCCUGAUGGAAGACCGAAACAGUUCUGACGUGCAAAUCGAUUGUCAGAAUUGAGUAUAGGGGCGAAAGACCAAUCGAACCAUCUAGUAGCUGGUUCCUUCCGAAGUUUCCCUCAGGAUAGCUGGUGCAUUUUAAUAUUAUAUAAAAUAAUCUUAUCUGGUAAAGCGAAUGAUUAGAGGCCUUAGGGUCGAAACGAUCUUAACCUAUUCUCAAACUUUAAAUGGGUAAGAACCUUAACUUUCUUGAUAUGAAGUUCAAGGUUAUGAUAUAAUGUGCCCAGUGGGCCACUUUUGGUAAGCAGAACUGGCGCUGUGGGAUGAACCAAACGUAAUGUUACGGUGCCCAAAUUAACAACUCAUGCAGAUACCAUGAAAGGCGUUGGUUGCUUAAAACAGCAGGACGGUGAUCAUGGAAGUCGAAAUCCGCUAAGGAGUGUGUAACAACUCACCUGCCGAAGCAACUAGCCCUUAAAUGGAUGGCGCUUAAGUUGUAUACCUAUACAUUACCGCUAAAGUAGAUGAUUUAUAUUACUUGUGAUAUAAAUUUUGAAACUUUAGUGAGUAGGAAGGUACAAUGGUAUGCGUAGAAGUGUUUGGCGUAAGCCUGCAUGGAGCUGCCAUUGGUACAGAUCUUGGUGGUAGUAGCAAAUAAUCGAAUGAGACCUUGGAGGACUGAAGUGGAGAAGGGUUUCGUGUGAACAGUGGUUGAUCACGAGUUAGUCGGUCCUAAGUUCAAGGCGAAAGCCGAAAAUUUUCAAGUAAAACAAAAAUGCCUAACUAUAUAAACAAAGCGAAUAUAAUACACUUGAAUAAUUUUGAACGAAAGGGAAUACGGUUCCAAUUCCGUAACCUGUUGAGUAUCCGUUUGUUAUUAAAUAUGGGCCUCGUGCUCAUCCUGGCAACAGGAACGACCAUAAAGAAGCCGUCGAGAGAUAUCGGAAGAGUUUUCUUUUCUGUUUUAUAGCCGUACUACCAUGGAAGUCUUUCGCAGAGAGAUAUGGUAGAUGGGCUAGAAGAGCAUGACAUAUACUGUUGUGUCGAUAUUUUCUCCUCGGACCUUGAAAAUUUAUGGUGGGGACACGCAAACUUCUCAACAGGCCGUACCAAUAUCCGCAGCUGGUCUCCAAGGUGAAGAGUCUCUAGUCGAUAGAAUAAUGUAGGUAAGGGAAGUCGGCAAAUUAGAUCCGUAACUUCGGGAUAAGGAUUGGCUCUGAAGAUUGAGAUAGUCGGGCUUGAUUGGGAAACAAUAACAUGGUUUAUGUGCUCGUUCUGGGUAAAUAGAGUUUCUAGCAUUUAUGUUAGUUACUUGUUCCCCGGAUAGUUUAGUUACGUAGCCAAUUGUGGAACUUUCUUGCUAAAAUUUUUAAGAAUACUAUUUGGGUUAAACCAAUUAGUUCUUAUCAAUUAUAACGAUUAUCAAUUAACAAUCAAUUCAGAACUGGCACGGACUUGGGGAAUCCG